UCGUCGUUCACUGCCCUCACC
rnacentral:siRNA from 1 species